rnacentral:rRNA from 1 species
CUACGGGUUGCUGCAGUGGGGAAUAUUGGACAAUGGGGGAAACCCUGAUCCAGCAAUGCCGCGUGUGUGAAGAAGGCCUGCGGGUUGUAAAGCACUUUCGGUUGGGAGGACUGCUUCUAGCACUAAUAUUGUUGGAAGUUGACGUUACCUUCAGAAGAAGCACCGGCUAACUCCGUGCCAGCAGCCACGGUAAUACGGAGGGUGCAAGCGUUAAUCGGAAUUACUGGGCGUAAAGCGCGCGUAGGCGGCUAGAUCAGUCGGGUGUGAAAGCCCCGGGCUUAACCUGGGAACUGCAUCCGAUACUGUCUAGCUUGAGUACAGGAGAGGAGAGUGGAAUUCCACAUGUAGCGGUGAUAUGCGUAGAUAUGUGGAGGAACACCAAUGGCGAAGGCAGCUCUCUGGCCUGAUACUGACGCUGAGGUGCGAAAGCGUGGGGAGCAAACAGGAUUAGAUACCCCAGUAGUC